rnacentral:rRNA from 1 species
AUUGAACGCUGGCGGCAUGCCUUACACAUGCAAGUCGAACGGCAGCACGGGGGCAACCCUGGUGGCGAGUGGCGAACGGGUGAGUAACAUAUCGGAACAUACCCUAGAGUGGGGGAUAACGUAGCGAAAGUUACGCUAAUACCGCAUACGAUCUAAGGAUGAAAGUGGGGGAUCUUCGGACCUCAUGCUCAUGGAGUGGCCGAUAUCUGAUUAGCUAGUUGGUGAGGUAAAGGCUCACCAAGGCGACGAUCAGUAGCUGGUUUGAGAG